AGCAGCCGCGGUAAUUCCAGCUCCAAUAGCGUAUAUUAAAGUUGUUGCAGUUAAAAAGCUCGUAGUUGAAUUUCGAGACCGGUUUAUUGGUCGUGCUUUUGUACGUACUGGUAUUAUUGGUUUCUCCUUUCUGACGAAUCUUAAUGCCAUUAAUUUGGUGUUUUGGGGAAUCAGGACUGUUACUUUGAAAAAAUUAGAGUGUUUAAAGCAGGCUCACGCUUGAAUACAUUAGCAUGGAAUAACGGAAUAGGACGUUUGAUUCUAUUUUGUUGGUUUCUAGGAUCGACGUUAAUGAUUAAUAGGGAUAGUUGGGGGCAUUAGUAUUCAAUUGUCAGAGGUGAAAUUCUUGGAUUUAUUGAAGACUAACUACUGCGAAAGCAUUUGCCAAGGAUGUUUUCA
rnacentral:misc_RNA from 1 species